rnacentral:rRNA from 1 species
GACGAACGCUGGCGGCGUGCCUAAUACAUGCAAGUCGAACGAAGCUGUUUUAACUGGUGCUUGCACCGACUUAAACAACUGAGUGGCGAACGGGUGAGUAACACGUGGGUAACCUGCCCCAAAGCGGGGGAUAACAUUUGGAAACAGAUGCUAAUACCGCAUAACCGCAGAAACCACAUGGUUUCUGUGUCAAAGAUGGUUUCGGCUAUCACUUUGGGAUGGACCCGCGGCGUAUUAGCUAGUUGGUAAGGUAAUGGCUUACCAAGGCAAUGAUACGUAGCCGAAGUGAGCGGUUGAUCGGCCACAUUGGGACGGAGACACGGCCCAAACUACUACGGGAGGCAGCAGUAGGGAAUCUUCCACAAUGGACGAAAGUCUGAUGGAGCAACGCCGCGUGAGUGAAGAAGGUUUUCGGAUCGUAAAACUCUGUUGUCAGAGAAGAACGUGUGCGAGAGUAACUGUUCGUGCAGUGACGGUAUCUGGCCAGAAAGCCACGGCUAACUACGUGCCAGCAGCCGCCGUAA